rnacentral:rRNA from 1 species
UACGUAGGGGGCAAGCGUUGUCCGGAUUUAUUGGGCGUAAAGAGCGUGUAGGCGGCUAGAUAGGUCCGUUGUGAAAACUCGAGGCUCAACCUCGAGACGUCGAUGGAAACCAUCUAGCUAGAGUCCGGAAGAGGAGAGUGGAAUUCCUGGUGUAGCGGUGAAAUGCGCAGAUAUCAGGAAGAACACCCGUGGCGAAGGCGGCUCUCUGGUACGUGACUGACGCUGAGACGCGAAAGCCAGGGGAGCGAACGGG